UGAAUACGAGACGCUAAGGCGUCGAAGUAGUGUAUGUCAUACUUCCAAGAAAAGCUUGCACUGUCAUAGAUAAAAAACGCCUGUACCAUAACCGACACAGGUGGGUAGGUAGAGUAUACUAAGGGGCGCGAGAUAACUCUCUCUAAGGAACUCGGCAAAAUAACUCCGUAACUUCGGGAGAAGGAGUGCCUUAUUCUUAAGGUUGCAAUAACAGGAUCCAAGCAACUGUUUAUCAAAAACACAGGUCUCCGCUAAGUCGUAAGACGAUGUAUGGGGGCUGACGCCUGCCCAGUGCCAGAAGGUUAAAGAAGCUGGUUAGCGAUUGCGAAGCUGGUGACUGAAGCCCUGGUGAACGGCGGCCGUAACAAUAACGGUCCUAAGGUAGCGAAAUUCCUUGUCGGGUAAGUUCCGACCCGCACGAAAGGCGUAAUGAUUUGGAUACUGUCUCGGAGAGGGGCUCGGUGAAAUAGACUUGUCUGUGAAGAUGCGGACUACCUGCACCAGGACAGAAAGACCCUAUGAAGCUUUACUGUAACUCGAAAUUGAAAUUGGACUUUAUUCGCGCAGCAUAGGUGGGAGGCGUUGAUUAUAAUCUUGCGGGAUUAUUGGAGCCAUUAGUGAGAUACCACUCUUGUAAUGUUAGAUUUCUAACUUUGAAUCAUUAUCUGGUCAAAGGACAGUUUCAGGCGGGCAGUUUGACUGGGGCGGUCGCCUCCCAAACGGUAACGGAGGCGUACAAAGGUUUCCUCUGAACGGUUAGAAAUCGUAUCUAGAGUGUAAGGGCAUAAGGAAGCUUGACUGUGAGACCUACAAGUCGAGCAGGGACGAAAGUCGGUCUUAGUGAUCUGACGGUACUGAGUGGAAAGGCCGUCACUCAACGGAUAAAAGUUACUCUAAGGAUAACAGGCUGAUCUCCCCCAAGAGUUCACAUCGACGGGGAGGUCUGGCACCUCGAUGUCGGCUCAUCGCAUCCUGGGGCGGUAGUACGUCCCAAGGGUUGGGCUGUUCGCCCAUGAAAGCGGUACGCGAGCUGGGUUCAGAACGUCGUGAGACAGUUCGGUCCAUAUCCGGUGUAGGCGUUAGAAUAUUGAGAGGAGCCUUCUUUAGUACGAGAGGACCGAGAAGGACAUACCUCUGGUGUACCAGUUAUCGUGCCAACGGUAAACGCUGGGUAGCUAUGUAUGGAGUGGAUAACCGCUGAAAGCAUCUAAGUGGGAAGC
rnacentral:rRNA from 1 species